rnacentral:misc_RNA from 1 species
GACUAAAAACAGCUGAUCGGAAACAAACAAGGUUUGAGGGAGCCAUGAAAACCAUGGCUUUGGAUGAUGUGUUGGGCAGAUCUGCUUCGUACAAGGAUUUCUAUUGUUGCUGUGAUUCCACAAGAGUCUGUCAGACACUUCCUUUGAAACCAGAUUUCUAGGUUUUGAUUGACCUGAAUUUGAACAAAAUCUGCUCACAUGGGAAGCUGUUUGCACAUGAUAGGAGUCCAAGAUUUCCAGUUCUUCAGCUACAUGUCAAAGGUACACAUGACUUUUUGGGGAGGUUUGUAUGCAAGGAAUGUCAUUCCUAAAGAGUUAAAUUUUCUUUAGCAUCUGGGUUAGUUUCCUGAAACCUGAGACUUCAGCUUAAGCAGCAUUAAGUGAAAUCUUAUUGUUACGUCUGUGAUAA